UUGGUUUUGAAGUAAUUUCAUUCAAAAGUCAACUCUUUAUUCACAUGUAAUCAUGUGUAUUUCAUCCAAACAAUUGAUUUUUCAUUCAUUUAUGAAGGCAUACAUAGUUCAUUACAAAGAUGUCAAGAAAUAUGUAUAUUUUUUAAAAGUUGACUUUUUGGCCAACUGUUGACCAAAGUCAACAUUUGCAUUUCUUCAUCCUAAACCUAUUUCUAACUAUAUUCCACCCAUACAUAAUUCAUAAAAUUCAAUGUUACUUCACAAGCAAUAAAAUUCCACUUUUGGCAAAAUUGACCAUUUCCAUGUCAUGAAUCUUGGCUUGCACCUUGCCUCCACAAUUGCCUUGCAUUUCCUUCCUUCAUGCCUUGCCAUCCUUUGCAAUUACCAAUCUACAAAAGCAAGCAUAAAAUAUGUGAUCCAAACCAUAACAAAUUCAAACCAAGCAUUAAAACAAUUCAUAUUUUGCACAUGUCCCAUUAAAGGUCCACAAGGAUUCACCAUCCUCCACAUAGUUAACAAGUCAUACAGGAUUGCAGCAAGGAUAACAUAUUAGCUUCAUAUGGUCUAAUACAUCAGUAGCCAUGGAUAACUCACAUGCUGCAUGGACCCUACAUACACCAAAUAAUAGUCAUGUCCACUGAACUGGUGAUGCAGACAUGUUAGCAGACACUAAACUAAUGACCAGCCACCCUAACACUAAGUUGGGGAUCCAAGAUAAUCAUUUCACAACCUGCAAACCAACUGCAUGCAUGCAGGCAGCAACAACCAACAUUCAACUAAAACCUAACUUUCCUAAUCUAACACCAAUCCAUAACAGUUCCAGUAAUUCAAAAUAACAUACCAUAAUUAAUUUUAACAUUAUAACACUAACAUUAAUCGAACUUGCAGGACUUGCAUUAAUUUACCAACACAUCCAUAACAUGUUGCAUUAACAUUCCACAAUAACUAACAGAGCUUCAACAUCACAGUCCAAAAAUGAAUUAAUAAAUUAACAUCAAAAUUGGCAGCUCAACAAAACUAACUCAAAGCUAACCAUAACUAAAUUCCAACUAAAUUUCCAAAUUGACCCCUGACUGAGACCUAAUGGUGUCAUGAUACCUAACUGAAUUGAUUUGGGAAUCUUAACAAGUCUUAACAAGCAUUAAUAGAAUAACCGUCUAUAAAUUGACUUCAUAAUCACAAUUUCAAGGAUCAACAUUUUUUCCCCAAAAAUUCUCAAGUCUCUCUCAACACCUACAAGCACUCCCUAUAAGCCACUGAAGCUCAUCAUCAGAGCUUUAAUUGACUUGUGCUAAGCUUCCAAUCAUCAAUCUCUCACGCACACAAUAACAAUCGCAUGAGCAGUAACACGGAAAAGCAAGAAGAGGAAGAAAAAGAUAGAAGCGAUGAGGGAGAAGAAGAAUGAGUGAAGAAAGCUCGAAGAACUCACUUGAAGAGUCGUCGGAACUGCUCCGGCCAGUAAGCUCCUUUUCUCUCUCCUUUAUUUCAUCAUCAACUUGUUACUGGGAUGUAGCCAUUGGCUUGAUGAUUUGAAGCCCUAAGUGUGUUGGUUCAAUUUCGUCUCUCUUACGUUUAAUUUAUGAAAUUAUAGAUUAGGGUUCAUCUAAAAUCUGACUCGAUUCUAGAGGUGUUGAAGAAUGAGGGCGAACAGAUAACAUAUCUAGGUUUGGCUUAUUGAGCUGGUUCUAUUGGUGUGUUCGGGAAGUUGAUUUGGGCUCCGCUGGCGCGGCGGAGACGACGAGAAUGCAAGAGGAGAGAAAAGCUAGGUUUGAACCUGAGUCUCACGUUUGACUUAAGGAGGAUGUUUCCUUUGGGCCAAAGGCCCAAUCCGUUCACUCUUGGCACCCAAAUAUUUUCUCCUACACCACCCUCUAGUCUUGUCUCCAAAUGCCUAGGCCAUGAGUCCCA
rnacentral:lncRNA from 1 species